UACGUAGGGUGCAAGCGUUGUCCGGAAUUAUUGGGCGUAAAGAGCGUGUAGGCGGCCCGAUUAGUCCGCUGUGAAAGUCCAGGGCUCAACCCUGGAAUGCCGGUGGAUACUGUCGGGCUAGAGUCCGGAAGGGGCGAGUGGAACUCCUGGUGUAGCGGUGAAAUGCGCAGAUAUCAGGAGGAACACCGGUGGCGAAGGCGGGUCUCUGGGCAGUAACUGACGCUGAGGAGCGAAAGCGUGGGGAGCGAACAGG
rnacentral:rRNA from 1 species